rnacentral:tRNA from 1 species
GGGGCUUUGGUGAAACUGGCAUCACGCUGCCGUCGCAUGGCAGAGUUUCGGGUUCAAUUCCCGAUCGCUCCA